AGAAAAGAAAACGUAUGCUUGUAUAAUAAGCCCUGGCAUCAACGAAAAAGUCUUGUUCGCGUAGAAAAAAAAGUCCGCACCAUUUAAAUGUAGUUCUAGCAAGAACUGACUGGCGAACUGCUAAAAACCGAUUCGACCACCGAUAAAAAUCUCGGAAGUGCUAUAGACAAGCACUUCCGGUUUCAAACUUUCCGCAUUGAAUUCGACGAUAAAGCCUUCCAAACUUCAACGGCGUGUUUCAGUCUUCGAGGGCUACUUCGGCUCGAUUUCACGACUUUUCAUAGUAUACUCAGUAAAGCGAAAAAAGAAAUGCGAUGAAAAUUCACGUUAAUUUCUACAUUAUUCAUCAUAGCGUAAUACAAUAGGUAACAACAGGUAUAAUGAAUUUGAAAUUAAUGUAUGACAAACGUGGUUUCGUAUGUAGACCUGCUUUCAAACUUCACGAUAUGUCACUCUAUAUUAUUCAUUAAUCCAUUAAGAGUAUAUACACACAUACAUCUCUCAUUAUAAUAAAUUAUAAUUCUGUAUUUAAUUAUUCUGCUGGAUAUUGAUUUAUUACAACAUAAUAAGACAUUCAUUUGCAAGAAUUAGGGUAAUAUCGUUCUCAAUAUCAGGAAGGUAACAACGGAAAUCACUAUGUGCCAUAUCAGCAUGUGCAUACGUAUACAAGGCGAAUUAAAUAAACAAGGGAUAUUUACACGAGUAGUGCUGAACAGCAUAGAAAGCGAUAAGCGACUAUUAAUUGGUCCUGCAUCAGAAGGCAAACAGUAAUUAAUUUUAUUAACAUAUAGCGAUGGUUGCAUUGUCCUCCGUUCUCGUUAUUAAUUACUACAUUGAGACGUAUAAAGAAUGUACAUGUGUUUUUCUAUGUAUCGUCGUAAUUUAUUUGAUUACUGAGCAAAAUACAUCUAAAUCUUGCAUUUUCAUAAAAUUUUUGAAUGAUAAUAAAAGAUACAGAAUUAUAAAACUUUUUCUGAAGAAAAAUAAUGGAUAUAAUGAUCAUAAAACGGUAUCAAAUAAACAAAUAAUCCUGGUAAUAGUGUAUAGUAAUAUCAAGAAUUUCGAUCUGUACAUUUGCAGUUGAACACGUAAUGAUUCCGAUUUACGAACAAUCAUUAAAACUAAUCACCAGCAAUAAAUAAUUCGAAAGCAGAAAUCUACCGGUGACCUGAACCGCCUAUACCAACCGAGAAGAAAUAGAACACUUCUCCAUAAGUUUCCGCUACGGCGCGAUAUUAAUAACAAAUUAGCAUGAGUAAUUAGGUAAUUAGAAAGACACUAAUUGGGCCAGCACGCGCUAAGUACACUUUAAUUAUUGUUCUCCGCCGAUUAAUUAUGCAUAUUCUAAUUAGCCACACGAAUAAACCAUCCUGCUUAUACUGCCGCUGGGAUGCCAAUUCGAGCAAACCGGCGCGGUAAGCAAACUUUUCCCGCACUUUUUUCUAGAGCGCGUUUCGUUGUCGAGUGCAUCCGCUAAUUACUUAGAACGAUGCGCGGGCAGGUGCAGCAUUGAAAGCAUCGCGGCCGAAACAGUCCUUCGCACUUUUCCGCCCGUUAAGUAAUUUCGGGUAUACUCAAAUGCUGCAACUUCCAGCUUUCUGCGGCAAUAGUUAUACAGAGUGCUCGCGAAAUACUACCUCUAUUUCUGGCCCCUAUCUAUUUUAACCGACGUGUGAACUUGACAUCUGACUUUAAAAAAAAUAGAAGCUACCAACGCGGCUUGUUAGCAUUUCUUCAUCGGCACUUGUUCAUACUUUCCUUAGUGUUUCAUUCAUGUCUCAAAAUAAAAUCAAAAGUAGUUUGAUACUGGCCAAUUGACUUGACGUUUUUACACAAUCUCUAAAAAUAAUUAUGUUACUCCUUCGAUAUUGAAAAUCCUGCAGGUUUUGAAUUCUUUAAGAUAUAAAGUAGAAAGCGCUCCAACUCGAUCAUCUUCGUCAAAUCUGAAGAAGAUUUUUACUUUUACUUUUAUAAAAUAAAUUUCUUAUGUACAAACUCUCUUUUCCCAUCAACUGUGCAUUGGAUGAUCUUUUUAUACGCCACCGUUUUUGGAACACCCUAUGUAUGAUAGCGUAAGCCGAGCUAUUCGAGCGAGCAGUUGCACAACGAAACGGCUCGGCGAAAUGGCCGAGCUUACAGAAAAUCCGACUAGAGGAAGCGAUCCGCCGAGCCGAGAAGGAUUCGACGCCCCGGAAUCUCCAGUAUGCCAGCGAAGGCACCGUGGGACGAAGGAUGGGAAUCCGGGAAAGCGGGGGAACUGCUGGAUAUUUCAAAAGACGAGCAUAUCCGGCUCUGGACAAUUGCCAAACGGCGUAACAUUGAGCGCACUCAUUAUGAAAGUUGAUGCCAGUGCGGAUGUUGUUUUGCAAUUUCCCGGAUUCCUGGCACCUUCUUUUUGCACACGUUUGUCGAAAGUUUCGAAUUUCCUGGUCUCCGCGAUGCUGCGGAGAUUGCAACGAUAGUAUGUGGUAGUAUGGGGGAUUUUUUGUUAAACCGCCACGGGCUAUGCUAGAAAGAGGUGGAUGAUUCUGUUACGCUGGUUUACGGAUUGAUUUCUUGUUGCCCGCCGGAGAUCAGUGCAACAUCAAUUUUACUGUGCGAACAGCCGUGAAAAAGCUGUCGGCAAAAAAGAAAGUUUAGCACCGAGAUGCAAAAUCGUUCCAGAAAUAACUGAACGCGAACGAGAACUUUAAAAGAAUAGCCUCGAAAAAAGCGAGUUUCUGAGUUCAGAUAUCGUCGCGCGUCACGUGCGCGGCUCUCGUUCUGAGAGAGUUCAAUGACAAAGCCAAAUGCCAUGCUGAUUACGUAACCGCAAAUGGCUUAUCAUCACGUAACGUUCACGUUGAGAGGCAAAUUUAUCGCUACAGUUAUCAAGCCAUGCCUGAUUGUUAAUUCGUAGAAGUCAAUGCACCUUAAGAACGUACAUUACUGUCAGAAAUCUUUUCAGAAAUCUUUCUAAGGAAACGAUACAACAGUAAAUUAUUUUCAAAUUCGAGGUUUGAAAAUUAAGAGACAGAAUAUAGAAAAUUAAGAGAUAAAUAAGUAAUUGACAAUUCUCUACUUUAGAGAUCACGUUGUUUUUUCACAGAGUAGUAACAGAAUUAUGAGACUUUGCAUGAAAAAAGUUGGAGAAAUAAAUCGUAUAGGUUUCCAAGUAAUCGACAAGCCGAUAACUUAUUUAAACGUCGCUAGUGAGCAACGCCGAGUUGUAGAAGCCUCCAGAAGGUCUUUCUGAUAAAUUCGCACGUGAAUGAAGUGGCUUUAGCCGUGCUCCACGAGAGUGCGCCGCGAAAAUCAAUGAGUGGAGCAGUAGAUAAGUUUUCGCAAGGUUACCAUCGUCCCGGUCCGCGCGUCUCGACCAAUAAAAUCGACUUUGCCUUGAGUGGCGACCUUGUACCAGAACAGAAACCACGUGGCUGUGUGAACAUGGUAAAACAUUCUUUACAUCAGCGUCAUACAGCUAAAGUAUGGGCAAUUCUUAGUUACGGAUUCGGAGCAAGAUGACUAAUGGUCAAGUGCAUCAAAUGAAAUGCUUAGUGAAGAGGUAUCUUCAUCGCAAAUUUGUUACUUUUAGACUUUGCACUGUAAUACUCCUGUUCACUGCGAAGAUUGUCAGUUACGAUUUUCCGGUUCAACCUCUUACGGAAAAACGAAUGUUAAGAGUGUCUCCAACAACAGAUUAACAAGCUUCGCAUUACAUCUCAUAUCUUUUGCAGGAAGAGAAUACGAGAUUUUUGUCCACGCAUUAAUAUCCUCGUUGUUAUUGUUCUCCUUCUCAUCUACAUUUGAUUUGAUAAAAUUAAGUGAGCUUUAAUUGUGUUUUGAAGAUAUUUAUAUGUAUUAUAAAAUAAAAUUUCUAAAGCUACCAAUUCUGUUAGAAACUUAAAAAAUUCAAGAAUUUACUAGAAUGCAAUAAUUGAACAUGCACGUCUUAUAAUAAAACGUACAUAUUUAUAAGUGUGCAUGCUUGCAAGUAAUGCAGAAUAUAAAUAUGUUUUUUGAAAUUCAUAGACUAACACUUAGGCAAAGGAACAUCGUUAAUGAUAGUGAAAUCAUGUUCUCUUCCACAUUAAUAACAUUAAUUAUGAGAAGA
rnacentral:lncRNA from 1 species